rnacentral:tRNA from 1 species
GACAGUUUGGCCGAGUGGUCUAAGGCGCCAGAUUUAGGCUCUGGUCCGAAAGGUUGUGGGUUCAAAUCCCACAGCUGUCA